UUGAGCGGAGAUAUAUGGAGCUUGCUUUAUAUAACUUAGCAGCGAAUUGGUGAGUAACACGUAGAUAAUCUAUCCUAUACUGGGGGAUAGCCCGAUGAAAGUUGGAUUAAUACCGCAUAUAGCUAUAUAGUUGCAUGAUUAUGUAGUGAAAGAUUUAUUGGUAUAGGAGGAGUCUGCGGCACAUUAGCUAGUAGGUGAGGUAAAGGCUUACCUAGGCGACGAUGUGUAGCCGGUCUGAGAGGAUGAACGGCCACAAUGGAACUGAGACACGGUCCAUACUCCUACGGGAGGCAGCAGUGGGGAAUAUUGCACAAUGGGGGAAACCCUGAUGCAGCAACGCCGCGUGAGUGAAGAAGGUUUUCGGAUUGUAAAGCUCUGUUAGCAGGGAAGAGGAAGGACGGUACCUGCAGAGGAAGCCACGGCUAACUACGUGCCAGCAGCCGCGGUAAUACGUAGGUGGCAAGCGUUGUUCGGAAUAACUGGGCGUAAAGGAUGCGUAGGCGGUUAAACAAGUUAUAUGUUAAAUAUAUAGGCUUAACCUGUAGAAAGCAUAUAAAACUGUUUAACUAGAGUGCAGGAGAGGUAAGUGGAAUUCCUAGUGUAGCGGUGAAAUGCGUAGAGAUUAGGAAGAACACCAGUGGCGAAGGCGACUUACUGGACUGUAACUGACGCUGAGGCAUGAGAGCAUGGGGAGCAAACAGGAUUAGAUACCCUGGUAGUCCAUGCUGUAAACGAUGGGUACUAGGUGUGGGUUGUGAAUAACAAUUCGUGCCGUCGCA
rnacentral:rRNA from 1 species